rnacentral:snoRNA from 1 species
UGCGAAUGCAGUGAUGACAAAAUCUAACCCAGCUCUAUGAGACCUUUAAUGAGGUCCGGGAAUAUAUUGUUUUUCCAACAUAUCUGAGCUUCGCC